GCGAUUUGUAUUGAUUGAAUACACCGCAGAUAUGGUGUGCAUUUUAUAUGAAACAAGGCAUGAUUUCUUCUUUGAAGAAGCACUUCUUGAUCUCAUUAUUUCUUCAGCAGCAAAUCCAGGAACAUGAUAAGCAAAGUAAACAUGAUUAUGCUCAAGGAUGGAUAACUGAUUAAGAGGAAACUCCUAUCAGCUGAAGAUGUGGAGUAAUGUAAAGCAGGAGGAUGUAUGUUCCAGGAAACAAUUACCCUGGCUCUUUGCAGAGAAAAAAGAAGAAAGGGAGUAAAAUCUAAAGCAUUAAUUCCACACCCCUCCACAUCUCCCCCAUCCUUCUUUCACAGAUUCGUUUCCGCGGCAGAGCUGAGCUGAUUAAGGACCACUGGCCAGAGGGGAGCAGUGUCAGGGCCACCCAGCCUGGCACCAGGCAUCCUGCAGCUGAGCUGCUUCAAUGUGGCAAAAUGGAGGCACAUCUUCCUAGCAGUGAGCAGAAACCUCAGCAAAGAAGCAGUCUGGUUCUCAUGGCAACCAGGAUUUCCAUAUACUGCAGGGGUACACACAGUCUGACAUCACUUUGCUGCAGGGAGGAUUUCUGUGCAUACUCAAGGACUAAAUUAAGCCCUUUGUAAAUGAAGAAUGUGUGUCCAUUUUCCUGCAUGCAACUGUAUGGCUUUCCUCCUGUGAAAGGGAGAAGAAUAGGGAAAGAAAAGAAGAUGCAAAAUUAUAUUUCUCUAAGUCAAAAUAAAAAUAGCCCUGACACACCCAGCUUCUCAUUUUCAGUUUGCAUCCCAUUUUAAAAAGCAAUGAUAGCUUGCACAGCUGGGAUGAAGAAAGGAUGGUAGCAGUUCCUUUAGGUGUUUGAAAAAAAUUGCUUUGCUAAUCAGAACAUAGGGAAACAGAUUUACUGAAUGUUAGAUGAUGCUUUUUGCUGCAGCACCAUUUAUACAGAUUUUAUCAGGGCAAGUCUGUAAUGAAGAUGUGAUAUUCAUCAUGCAUGAUACAGUGACAUCUGGUGUAAGACAUCCUGUGCUGUAUGCUGCAGUUCCCAGCUAGGAAGAUAAUUCAUGUGCUCCAGCUUUAUCAGACUCUGCCAUGCAGCCCAGUGAGAGGUUUCCUUACCCCUCAUUUGAGAUGACUCAUUGUAAGAUCUUACAGGGCCCUAUGUUAUCCAAUUCUGCAUAUAUAUUCUGUCCUGGGGAAUCAUAAUACAAGAAUACCCUGACAUGAAAUUUCUAUUGUUCUAUUGCAGAGAUUGGAGUUCCCUGAGUGCUAAAGGUCUGCAAUCCCUUGUAGUUAAUUUAUAAUGUGACUCUGUAUGGACCUAAAAAAGCUUAAAUUUGGCUUCAGUUGGUUGAAGACAUUUAGCAUACUGAGGGAUCAUUAUUUUUUUGGGGUUUUUUUUGGUUUUUUUUUUUUGGUAGUAACACAAAUGCCAAACUGGAAACUCUACUCAUAUAGGGUUUAUUUUUGGUUUUUUUUUGCUUGCAUUGAUCGGAAUAAUUUUGAACCCUUCCACUUGCAAAGCUUUAGUGUGGGUUUGUGUGAAUUCUUAUAUAUAGAGAUCUUGUAGGGCUAAGGCAGAUAUCUGUUAUUUAAUGCAAAGCUGUGGUUUUACCCUUUUCCUCACAACAAACUCUCACUUUUCAAAAUGAAGAUCAGUAGAGCUCUGCAUAGGUGGGAGUCACACCACCAUCUCAGCUACAUAAUUAAAGGGCCUUAGAUUUGAUUAGGUUUUUAGCAGGGGUUUAUUUUGCAAUGUGUUUGUCGAAGUGCCAAAUAUAUUUCCAAAUGAUCACAAAUUAAGAGAAAUUUUUAAACAAACAUCAUUAUAUUUCUUGUGAAUCUGGUGUAUGAUUAAAUGCUUUUGCAUGUUUUAA